UACAGAGGGGGCUAGCGUUGUUCGGAAUUACUGGGCGUAAAGGGCGCGUAGGUGGCCUGUUAAGUCGAACGUGAAAUCCCCGGGCUCAACCCGGGAACUGCGUCCGAUACUGGUUGGCUUGAAUCCGGGAGAGGGAUGCGGAAUUCCAGGUGUAGCGGUGAAAUGCGUAGAUAUCUGGAGGAACACCGGUGGCGAAGGCGGCAUCCUGGACCGGCAUUGACGCUGAGGCGCGAAAGCCAGGGGAGCAAACGGG
rnacentral:rRNA from 1 species